UGAGGUAGAGGCGCAAUAUUUAACAGUCCUUAGUGGAGCGUGAGGAAGCUAUGAUUCUAAGGAGAAGGAAAUAUUGCCGAAGCUUAUAAUAUACCCUCUAUAUUAUUUGCUGGGUCUGCAGUUAAGAGCUGCAGGACUGUCUCAAUAGAC
rnacentral:ncRNA from 1 species